rnacentral:rRNA from 1 species
AGAGUUUGAUCCUGGCUCAGGAUGAACGCUAGCUACAGGCUUAACACAUGCAAGUCGAGGGGAAACGAUAGAGAAAGCUUGCUUUUUCUAGGCGUCGACCGGCGCACGGGUGAGUAACGCGUAUCCAACCUGCCCAUCACUUGGGGAUAACCUUGCGAAAGUAAGACUAAUACCCAAUGAGGUCUCUAGAAGACAUCUGAAAGAGAUUAAAGAUUUAUCGGUGAUGGAUGGGGAUGCGUCUGAUUAGCUUGUUGGCGGGGUAACGGCCCACCAAGGCGACGAUCAGUAGGGGUUCUGAGAGGAAGGUCCCCCACAUUGGAACUGAGACACGGUCCAAACUCCUACGGGAGGCAGCAGUGAGGAAUAUUGGUCAAUGGGCGAGAGCCUGAACCAGCCAAGUAGCGUGCAGGAUGACGGCCCUAUGGGUUGUAAACUGCUUUUAUAAGGGAAUAAAGUGGGAGUCGUGACUCCUUUUGCAUGUACCUUAUGAAUAAGGACCGGCUAAUUCCGUGCCAGCAGCCGCGGUAAUACGGAAGGUCCGGGCGUUAUCCGGAUUUAUUGGGUUUAAAGGGAGCGUAGGCCGGAGAUUAAGCGUGUUGUGAAAUGUAGACGCUCAACGUCUGCACUGCAGCGCGAACUGGUUUCCUUGAGUACGCACAAAGUGGGCGGAAUUCGUGGUGUAGCGGUGAAAUGCUUAGAUAUCACGAAGAACUCCGAUUGCGAAGGCAGCUCACUGGAGCGCAACCGACGCUGAAGCUCGAAAGUGCGGGUAUCGAACAGGAUUAGAUACCCUGGUAGUCCGCACGGUAAACGAUGGAUGCCCGCUGUUGGUCUGAAUAGGUCAGCGGCCAAGCGAAAGCAUUAAGCAUCCCACCUGGGGAGUACGCCGGCAACGGUGAAACUCAA